AACGAACGCUGGCGGCAUGCCUAACACAUGCAAGUCGAACGAGACCUUCGGGUCUAGUGGCGCACGGGUGCGUAACGCGUGGGAAUCUGCCCUUGGUUCGGAAUAACAGCGAGAAAUUGCUGCUAAUACCGGAUGAUGACGUAAGUCCAAAGAUUUAUCGCCCAAGGAUGAGCCCGCGUAGGAUUAGCUAGUUGGUGAGGUAAAGGCUCACCAAGGCGACGAUCCUUAGCUGGUCUGAGAGGAUGAUCAGCCACACUGGGACUGAGACACGGCCCAGACUCCUACGGGAGGCAGCAGUGGGGAAUAUUGGACAAUGGGCGAAGCCUGAUCCAGCAAUGCCGCGUGAGC
rnacentral:rRNA from 1 species